UUAUGUUUCAAAUGCGGAUCUAAACUAGAAGCAAAAUUGUCGGUAUGUAAUCAUGCGAAGACAUUAGACCAUUACAUGUCUAUAAAAGGAGAAUGUAGAGUAGGAUUUAACACGAAGAUCUCGAGCUCGUCAUCGAAAAGGAAAUCAACUAGUCAAUGUCCACCUUCAAAAAAGCCUGUGGAUAAUCUUGUUGUAAUACAGGUAGACAUAAUCACCGUAAACGAUGGUACUCUAACAGUGAAAAGAGGCUCCAAAUUACCUGUAAAAGUUUGCAAAGAUUUUGAUAGGGAGAAAGUACUGGCGCUGACAUAAAAGAACACUCUGAUCAUGAUCAAUUUUUUGUUCUGGUAGCAAAGUCAACUUAAAAAACUACUAAAAAUAAGUAUGAAACUGAAGGAAAUAAGAAACAAGUCGUAGAUCUUUCAGUAGUGUCUUCUGAUGAUGAUGAAUUUUAUGAUUUUCAUUCCUUACCUGAUGAGACAUCCGAUGAACCUACUAUGUCCUUUUAACUAAAUCGAGAUGGCUUGUCAACAUCAAAGUCUGAUUUUUCUUUGACUUCUAAAAGAAACGAAUCUUCCCAAACAGCCUUGCCAUUUGGGCAUUGCCCUACAAAUCCUAGAAAUAAAAAUAUUUAUGUACAGUGUCCCACUUGUCAUGGAAAUUUUGUAGAUAAAGACAUUGUAUUACAUGCAGACAUAUGUGAAGAAAAUGCUAACUGACGGGCAUUUUAUCAAGAAAGAAAAUUUGAACUUUCAGUUGAUAUUGCAGAAGGACACACAAGUGAAGAUGUCACUGAAUAUGUGAGUUUGGAUACUUGUGUGAAGUCAAUUUCAGAUAUUCUUGAACCGUUAGUGAAAAAUCUCAAAGCACAAUCUAGAAUAAAUGUAAGGAGAGGCCAGGUAUUUGCUAAUUACAUUGAGACAAGAAAAUGUUGUAGCUGGAUUAUCGAUGAAAAUAAACUUAAAGUAGUUUUUAUUGGUGAGCCUGCUCAAGGUACUGGAAGACCAAGGAAAGAAUUUUUAACAGAAGUUCUUAAAGAAAUUACACAACGACUGUUCAUAACUGGUGUUCCCAUUAUCUCAACAUCAGCAAUGACAGAGAAUGAAUUUUUGUAUGCUGGAAAUCUUAUGGCUGCCUCCAUUUUGCAAUGUGGUCUGUCACCAUGCAUUUUAAAACCUUGGGUUUAUGACUAUGUGGUUUCAAGUCUGUGUGAACAGCUCAAACUAACUUUUGAUGAUUUACCAGCAUCAGAAAUCAAAACUUUUUCAGAGAAGGUACUUUAAAAUUGAUAGAACUGAUAUUUAUCACAAUAAUUUAUAAUGGGUAACAUGCACUGAUUGUAACAGCUGUAUUGCCACCUGAUAUAAAAGUAUGCUGUACAUCUACAUACAACUCAUAAUGAUUGUAACAGCUGUAUUGUCAUCUGAUAUAAAAGUAUGCUGUGCAUCCACAUACAAGUCAUAAUGAUUGUAACAGCUGUAUUGUCACCUGAUAUAAAAGUAUGCUGUACAUCUACAUACAACUCAUAAUGAUUGUAACAGCUGUAUUGUCACCUGAUAUAAAAGUAUGCUGUGCAUCCACAUACAACUCAUAAUGAUUGUAACAGCUGUAUUGUCACC